ensembl:lncRNA
AUGCAUUACGGCUCGGAAACACUGACUGCUGCAGCAGCAAAUUGUCGUGUUCAAGGGGUGGCCGGUGCCACCAGGUGGCAGCAGGGCUCUGUCACAAACCGCCUCGUCCUCCGCUCCCAGCAGCCGAACCCUCCCGCUUCUCCACCCGGGAUGAACGCACGAGCCUGGGGCUGCUCCUCUGCGUCCUCCCGCCCCGUGCUGCUGCGGAGACGAUCCCGCAGCAACGGGGAUGGGGGGCCCGGGUGCUGUCCCCAUCCCUGGAAGGAGCAGCGCGGCCCUGAUGCAGUGCCAUGGACUGCGCUGACCCCCGAGCUGGCUCAGCCCAAGCACGCAGCGUGGGAUGCAGCCUGGCUGCGGGCAUCCAGCACCUCCCUGGCGUUGCUUUGGUCUCCUCUCCAUCUGAGAGCUCUGCUGGAGCUGUGGGAUGCGUUUGGGGAAAGCUCUGUCCUAGCAGGGCCCGGUGAUCAUCUCAGCUCCACCCCGGUGCCCCAAACCCGCUAUGCUCGGAGCACCGGGGGCUUCGUUCCCCGUGUCCUUUGCCACGGCCCCGGCGGUGACGCAGCAGCAGCCCCGCACCCAGGGCAGCGCAGAGCCCCGCCGCGUUGGCAAAUAUCCUGUUGCACGCUGCCGCUUCCUGCCUGGAUCCUGGUGGGAGGGGCAGGGACGGCCCGUGCAGCCCCAGAACCAGAUCUAUGUGCUUAUUAGGCCCCGUGGAGGGAGAGCUCCUGCAAAACCCAGCUGCUGCACCCCAACAGCCCCGUCCUGGGGUGGGCACAUCCCUAUGGGCCGGCCCUGGGGACCAGUCUGCUCUGGGGCACGGAACCAGCUCUGUUCCCCCCUCUCCGUGUGGGGCUGCGUCUGCUGUGGAGACCCUACAGUGCUGUAGGAUGGGACGUGUGGCCCAGCUUGGGAUGCACAGGCCCUUUUUGGUUGCAGGAUGCAGCUGCGCUGGGACACCCCACCCUGUGGCCGCGGGCAGAGCCGAGCAGAUCCCGUGUUCACCCCAUCAGAUGUUACCUUGUAGGAAGGUGUCAGACAUGUUUCAAAUGUCAAAAUCAACCCUAAAGGAAGCUGAAGCAACCUGGCCGGCAGCGGUGAAGCAAACUUGGGGCAGUCUUGUGUUACCCCCGGGGCUGCCGCUGCUGCUGCUAUGGGGAAGCUGGUGGCAAGUUUCCUCACCGAGCAGGGCGAUUUCAGGGCUUUGACUCACCCUUAGGAAAUCACAACUGUUCCUUUUUUUCCUCAGAAAGGUAUUUGCAAAUCAGUAGCUGGGCUCUGUGCGUUCAUGGGGCUCUGUGAGUUCACAGCAUGAAGCUGCUCGGAGGCAUCUCAGGCAUUUCCAACCCCCCCUCCCCGCUGCUGAAAGCAGCCAUUCAUAGCCGCCUCCGUGCAAACCUGAGCUGUUGGGAGCCAGGCACUGGGAUCGUGCAGCUCUCAUCUGUGUGAAUCCCAGCACGCCGACCUCGCUGCUGCCCAUGCAAAACUCAGUGCAUCCACCACCCGGCCCCAGGCAGAGCCAAAGGGCCCUAAAAUGGGUUCUACCUCACCCCCCCCCAUCUCUGUCACCCACCACUGCAGCUCAGUCUGAGGAGAGCAUUCCCAAAGGAGAUUGUUUUAGCUGGAAAUGAGGAGGUCAGUCUGCUCUGACCUAUGCAGAACACUGCAAGGGGCACUGUGAGCCCUGCUGUGGUGAGCCCCUGCUCUC